rnacentral:rRNA from 1 species
UACGGGGGGAGCAAGCGUUGUUCGGAUUUACUGGGCGUAAAGGGCGCGUAGGCGGCCACCGCAAGUCGGUUGUGAAAUCUCCGGGCUUAACCCGGAAAGGUCAACCGAUACUGCGGGGCUAGAGUGCAGAAGGGGCAACUGGAAUUCUCGGUGUAGCGGUGAAAUGCGUAGAUAUCGAGAGGAACACCUGCGGCGAAGGCGGGUUGCUGGGCCGACACUGACGCUGAGGCGCGAAAGCCAGGGGAGCGAACGGG